rnacentral:rRNA from 1 species
AUUGAACGCUGGCGGCAGGCCUAACACAUGCAAGUCGAGCGGGGUUUUCGGACCUAGCGGCGGACGGGUGAGUAAUGCGUAGGAAGCUGCCCGAUAGAGGGGGAUACCAGUUGGAAACGACUGUUAAUACCGCAUAAUGUCUACGGACCAAAGUGUGGGACCUUCGGGCCACAUGCUAUCGGAUGCGCCUACGUGGGGUUAGCUCGUUGGUGAGGUAAUGGCUCACCAAGGCGACGAUAUCUAGCUGGUUUGAGAGGAUGAUCAGCCACACUGGAACUGAAACACGGUCCAGACUCCUACGGGAGGCAGCAGUGGGGAAUAUUGGACAAUGGGGGGAACCCUGAUCCAGCCAUGCCGCGUGUGUGAAGAAGGCCUUAUGGUUGUAAAGCACUUUAAGCGAGGAGGAGGCUACUGAGACUAAUACUCUUGGAUAGUGGACGUUACUCGCAGAAUAAGCACCGGCUAACUCCGUGCCAGCCGCCGCGGUAAAAC